CUAUAGAUCCUCUUGGCCUCACCAUUCAGGAUGAGCAAAUGCAUCUUCUCUGCCCGGGAAAAGGAAGUAGAAAAAGAAGCAGUUAUGUGGGAAUUAAUUUGCCUGGAAUGAGAGAGACAACGCUGAGUUCACUGCUGUUCCAGAUCCAUUCUGCAUGCCUGUGAAAAGCAGAGUUAAUACUACAGGCACCUACUGCGUCUUGAAGGGAUCUUUGGCAAGGAAAGCAUCUGCUACUUUCCGACUGGCAUUUAG
rnacentral:lncRNA from 1 species